rnacentral:lncRNA from 1 species
GUUUGAUAACCGGGAUCCUGAAUCCCGAAAGGUGAGUACUGGGAUCUGUGUCCUGGGUGCUGGUCCAAGCACUCAGUGCCUUUACUCUCUCCUGUCUGAUGGACAGUAGUUCCGUGUGGCACAAUUUGUGGCGAGGCAAGGGAAGAAGGCGAGAAGAAAACUGCACGGGAUCUGUGGAGUUUUCCAGAUUCGCUCGCCUGUCUGAGCACCUUGGUGAAGGAAAUGAUGGACUUUUGGGAGAAACCUUAGAAUCCUACAGGUCUUCCCAUAGGCCUACACUAGGGCUGUUUACCACUGGAAGCCAGGGAAAGGGGGAGACUGGCCUGGAACCGUUGAAGAUCUGCCUGCAGGUCUGCUGUAGGGCUUGA